AGCAGCCGCGGUAAUUCCAGCUCCAAUAGCGUAUAUUAAAGUUGUUGCAGUUAAAAAGCUCGUAGUUGAAUUUCGGAAUCAAUAUGUUGGUCGUGCCUCGGUACGUACUAGCUUAUUGGUUUCUCCUUUCUGAAGAACCAUGAUGUCAUUUAUUUGGUGUCGUGGGGAAUCAGGACUGUUACUUUGAAAAAAUUAGAGUGUUUAAAGCAGGCUCACGCUUGAAUACAUUAGCAUGGAAUAAUGAAAUAGGACGUUUGAUUCUAUUUUGUUGGUUUCUAGGAUCGACGUAAUGAUUAAUAGGGAUAGUUGGGGGCAUUAGUAUUCAAUUGUCAGAGGUGAAAUUCUUGGAUUUAUUGAAGACUAACUACUGCGAAAGCAUUUGCCAAGGAUGUUUUCAUUAAUCAAGAACGAAAGUUAGGGGAUCGAAGACGAUCAGAUACCGUCGUAGUCUUAACCAUAAACUAUGCCGACUAGGGAUCGGAUGAUGUUAAUUUUUUU
rnacentral:misc_RNA from 1 species